GCGCUGAUGGUGUAGGGGCGAAGCACGCGCCCAUAUGCAGAGGCUAUAGUCCUUAAGGCGGCUGUCCCGGGUUCGAGUCCUGGCUCCAGUGACA